AGGAGUCGGUACACAGGAGAACAAUCAAAGCAGGCAGAAGUAACGAAGGAGUCACGCUUACAAGGUUGGUCGGAGAACGGACGAAGGUCAGUACACACAGAUUCAAUCAGGGAUACCAGAGCACACGAACGGGACAUGAAGCUCAACGAACUGGCGCCGGACAGAUGUCAUCGCUGUCGUAUAAAUCCACAGCAUAAUCAGGCUGCAUGAGGCGCAGGUGUGCACCUUCCCAUCAGUGCACCUGCGCGGACACCCGCACAGCUCGUGCUGGAGCUGCAGGAUCAUGACAGUUACUGUCUUAUAAGUACUGCGGGCUGGCCAAUUGCGCCACUGGAGCAUUUUGUCAGCUGUGAUGCUGAUGAAAGACAGAGAAAGUCACGAGAAGAAAGUCCAUCCAUCCAUCCAUCCAUCUGAGCCGCUUAUCCUCACAAGGGACACCCCGUUUUGGCCAGCAUGCAGGCUGCAGAGUUGACAUUGGCUUCCUCAAGCCUUCAGGUAUGAACGACAGCGUUGUUCUCCUCAAUAUCUGUCCGUGGUCUUGGACAACGUGCAAAGCCAUCCCAUGCUGGAGAAGCUGGUGCACAGUUUCAAGUACAGCAUUAACAACACCUCAGAGAGGGUCCGCUUGGCUUCUGUCGACAUGCUCCUCAAGUUCAAGCCGGUCAGUCCAACCGAGGUACUCGAAGUCAUGUGCUCAAAGGCCACUUUAUUAGGUCCAUCUCGUGUGGUCAAGAUAUAUUUUGUCUGAUGAAAGAUGACUAAAUGUGUCCUGUACAAAUGCGUAGCACAUCGUAGAAGUAUCUUUCAUACUUCCUUGGUGGCAUAUUUUCGGAUCAUAGACCUAACCGUAAAGCCAACAUUUCUUGACGUGUGCCUUUGUGACAGUCACAACAUUGACACACGGCCUGAAACACAAGCGGCGUUCUGCUUCUGUACCACGUGGGUACUUCAAGCAGGGUAUGCGCAGAUUUAUGAUCUGGACCAAUGUGAGAAUUCCCCCAGCGUUCCAGUCAGUGUCAACAAACGCCCGGAUGUAAAACAUCUUUAA